rnacentral:rRNA from 1 species
GAUGAACGCUGGCGGCGUGCCUAAUACAUGCAAGUCGAGCGAACAGACGAGGAGCUUGCUCCUCUGACGUUAGCGGCGGACGGGUGAGUAACACGUGGAUAACCUACCAAUAAGACUGGGAUAACUUCGGGAAACCGGAGCUAAUACCGGAUAACAUGUUGAACCGCAUGGUUCAACAGUGAAAGACGGUUUUGCUGUCACUUAUAGAUGGAUCCGCGUCGCAUUAGCUAGUUGGUAAGGUAACGGCUUACCAAGGCAACGAUGCGUAGCCGACCUGAGAGGGUGAUCGGCCACACUGGAACUGAGACACGGUCCAGACUCCUACGGGAGGCAGCAGUAGGGAAUCUUCCGCAAUGGGCGAAAGCCUGACGGAGCAACGCCGCGUGAGUGAAGAAGGUCUUCGGAUCGUAAAACUCUGUUAUUAGGGAAGAACAAAUGUGUAAGUAACUAUGCACGUCUUGACGGUACCUAAUCAGAAAGCCACGGCUAACUACGUG